CCUACGGGAGGCAGCAGUGGGGAAUAUUGGACAAUGGGGGGAACCCUGAUCCAGCGACGCCGCGUGAGUGAAGAAGUAUUUCGGGAUGUAAAGCUCUAUCAGCAGGGAAGAAAGAAAUGACUGUACCUGACUAAGAGGCCCCGGCUAACUACGUGCCAGCAGCCGCGGUAAUACGUAGGGGGCAAGCGGUAUUCGGAUUUACUGCGUGUAAAGGGAGCGUAGACGGCGAUGCAAGUCUGGAGUGAAAGCCGCGGGCCUAACCAGCGAACUGCUUUGGAAACUGUGUGGCGAGAGUGCAGGAGGGGUAGGUGGAAUGCGUAGUGUAGCGGUGAAAUGCGUAGAUAUUAGGAGGAACACCGGUGGCGAAGGCGGCUUACUGGACAGUAACUGACGCUGAGGCUCGAAAGCGUGGGGAGCAAACAGGAUUAGAUACCCGAGUAGUC
rnacentral:rRNA from 1 species